AUGUGGAGCGCUUAGAAGUGAGAAUGCCGGUGUGAGUAGCGAAAGACGGGUGAGAAUCCCGUCCACCGAUUGACUAAGGUUUCCAGAGGAAGGCUCGUCCGCUCUGGGUUAGUCGGGUCCUAAGCUGAGGCCGACAGGCGUAGGCGAUGGAUAACAGGUUGAUAUUCCUGUACCACCAUUAUUCGUUUUAAGCGAUGGGGGGACGCAGUAGGAUAGGCGAAGCGUGCUGUUGGAGUGCACGUCCAAGCAGUGAGAUUGAGUGUUAGGCAAAUCCGGCACUCUUAAGAUUGAGCUGUGAUGGGGAGAGGAACUUGUUCCUCGAGUCGUUGAUUUCACACUGCCGAGAAAAGCCUCUAGCUAGAAUAACGGUGCCCGUACCGCAAACCGACACAGGUAGUCAAGAUGAGAAUUCUAAGGUGAGCGAGCGAACUCUCGUUAAGGAACUCGGCAAAAUGACCCCGUAACUUCGGGAGAAGGGGUGCUCUUUGAGGUUCACGCUUCGAAGAGCCGCAGUGAAUAGGCCCAAGCGACUGUUUAUCAAAAACACAGGUCUCUGCUAAACCGUAAGGUGACGUAUAGGGGCUGACGCCUGCCCGGUGCUGGAAGGUUAAGAGGAGUGGUUAGCGCAAGCGAAGCUACGAAUCGAAGCCCCAGUAAACGGCGGCCGUAACUAUAACGGUCCUAAGGUAGCGAAAUUCCUUGUCGGGUAAGUUCCGACCCGCACGAAAGGCGUAACGAUUUGGGCACUGUCUCAACGAGAGACUCGGUGAAAUCAUAGUACCGGUGAAGAUGCCGGUUACCCGCGACAGGACGGAAAGACCCCGUGGAGCUUUACUGUAGCCUGAUAUUGAAAUUCGGUACAGUUUGUACAGGAUAGGUAGGAGCCUUAGAAGCGUGAGCGCUAGCUUACGUGGAGGCAUUGGUGGGAUACUACCCUAAUUGUAUUGGAUUUCUAACCCGCAGCACUUAUCGUGCUGGGAGACAGUGUC
rnacentral:rRNA from 1 species